rnacentral:rRNA from 1 species
AUUGAACGCUGGCGGCAGGCCUAACACAUGCAAGUCGAGCGAGCGGCGGACGGGUGAGUAAUGUAUGGGGACUGCCCGAUAGAGGGGGAUAACUACUGGAAAAGGUAGCUAAUACCGCAUACUAUCGGAUAACCCAUAUGGGAUUAGCUAGUAGGUGAGGUAAUGGCUCACCUAGGCGACGAUCCCUAGCUGGUCUGAGAGGAUGAUCAGCCACACUGGGCCUGUGACACGGCCCAGACUCCUACGGAGGAAGCAGUGGGGAAUAGUGCACAAUGGGUGCAAGCCUGAAGCAGACAUGCCGGGUGUAUGAAGAGGGCGCUAGGGUUGUAAAGUACAUUCAGUCGGGAGACGUUACCGACAGAAGAAGCACCGGCUAACUCCGUGCCAGCAGCCGCGGUAAUUC